rnacentral:siRNA from 1 species
AGGGUUACGGUCUUUUUAGGGCA